rnacentral:lncRNA from 1 species
CUUGAUGCCUCAUUUGCAUACAGUGUUCACAGUGCUCCAUGAGCACAGAAUUCCGAUGGGUCCACAACGAAAGGGACUUUAUGAUACUGAAAGCAAGCAUGAGGUACUGUGUCAGGAAGGUACUGGGCCAAAUGAUGAAGACUUGACUUUAUGGACCCUAAUUCUGCUUUGGUUGACUCUAAUCUUCAUUUCCGGAACAUUUGAUCUGGGCUUGAUAAAUGGACACACAGAUGAAGGAAGAAACAAAUGAAGUAUGGCACCUAUGAAGGCUGGAGCUGGGCCUGCUCUACUGUUGUCAGUGAGAAACCAACUGGUAAAGAAACCAGCCAAGGCAAUGUGAAGGAUUCCAAGAGAGGCAAUAUGGAUGAAACCAUUUAUUAGAUUUAUAAGAGCUGAAGGAAAGUGGUAAAGCUAUCCAUCUUCUAUACUUUAUUGAGAACAGGACCAAUGACUCAGACUAUCAGGACAGUAUCUCCAAGACAGAAUUGAAAUCCUAAAGUAAGCAGAGAAUAAGUGCAUACAUUUUAGGAGAAGAGGGAUCAAAGGCAGAAGGAAGAAAUGCAGGGGUGUCAGCUGUGACCCUCGAAGGAAAGGGAUCACCCUCUUUCUGACCCUAUACCACCUUCAGCAGGGAUGAAGGCAGUCAGAGAAAACUUAGUUAAAAGAUUUCUAAACUGCUUUGCUGAUUUGAUCUGGGGCCCUGGAGUGCCAACAUCCUGUGAUAGCGGCUGAUUGUUGAUGCCUGGGAGGAUACAGCAGUGACGAUCCAAAUUUACAAGACUCAACAUGGUUUUCAAAACUUCCUUUUAAAAAAGAUGUUCCUGAGUUCUGGAAUCUGAACAAAAUAUGUCUGGUUAUUAUAUAAUUCUAAUGGUCCUUGUGGAUGCUACCAUUAGAGUUCAGUUAGUGUCUCAUCUAUCACUGUAAUAUUUGUAUUGUAACACUAAUCGUGGCAAAGUAUGAUUUGAUAAAUGCUCAUUCUCAAAUCUUUU